UUGAGUCCAUUUACGGUAGUUAACGGAGACGGGUUCUGUGAUAUUUGAGAUUCCUCCCAACCUUAAAGAUUUCACUAGAAUCAUUCGUAUCAACAGCUAUAAAAGGCGCGGGAGGGAAAAGUGCUUCACUCGAGGAAUCAAAACCUGGCCGACGUUUGCUAAAGUCCGGUUCAAGAUGAAUUACUCCCGAUUCGCUCUUCUCGUUUUCGUCUCAACGAUGAUCGUUUCCGCGGGAAGUGCUCGAGGCUAUUGCAAUGACUGCAGUUGUUGUUCAGCGAAUGCAAUCAGUUGUAUUGGAAUGUGCUCACAUCCUCAGCAAUGCAGCGGUUGCUCCGAUGAGGCAGAGUCGUGCCGCACUGCCCUUUGUGGAAGGAAGAGGAGUCUUGAUGCGUGGAAAGACUACAUGGUGAAAUACAACCGACGAAAACAACAAGAACAAACUCAACCUCAAGACUAUGAACAACUCGCUAAGCUUCAUUGAUGAAAGAUUGUCUUCGAGCGGAAUGGAAAAGAAGAGAUCAAUAACACGUCAUUAUUUCACUUCACUUCAUUAAUCUCAUUAACUACUUUAAGUACAAAUUAGCCGACAGGUUAAGUUACCAGAAAAAAAUAUUCAGUUCAAGUCAAGUGGAUUAUACGCAGUGUCUAACAGACUAAUUGUAAAAAAAAGGAAAACUAGUUUUUAGAACACGUUAUAAUCACACUUUAUUCCUUUGUUUGAAAAUUGAUUAAAAUUCUGUUAAUCUG